GACGAACGCUGGCGGCGUGCUUAACACAUGCAAGUCGAACGGAAAGGCCCUGCUUUUGUGGGGUGCUCGAGUGGCGAACGGGUGAGUAACACGUGAGUAACCUGCCCUUGACUUUGGGAUAACUUCAGGAAACUGGGGCUAAUACCGGAUAGGAGCUCCUGCUGCAUGGUGGGGGUUGGAAAGUUUCGGCGGUUGGGGAUGGACUCGCGGCUUAUCAGCUUGUUGGUGGGGUAGUGGAUUACCAAGGCUUUGACGGGUAGCCGGCCUGAGAGGGUGACCGGCCACAUUGGGACUGAGAUACGGCCCAGACUCCUACGGGAGGCAGCAGUGGGGAAUAUUGCACAAUGGGCGGAAGCCUGAUGCAGCAACGCCGCGUGCGGGAUGACGGCCUUCGGGUUGUAAACCGCUUUCGCCUGUGACGAAGCGUGAGUGACGGUAAUGGGUAAAGAAGCACCAGCUAACUACGUG
rnacentral:rRNA from 1 species